rnacentral:rRNA from 1 species
GGGUUCGGCUGUUCGCCGAUUAAAGUGGCACGCGAGCUGGGUUCAGAACGUCGUGAGACAGUUCGGUCCUUAUCCACCGUGGGCGUAGGAAUCUUGAGGGGUUUAAUUCAUAGUACGAGAGGACCUGAAUUAACGCACCUCUGGUGUGGCAGUUGUCGCGACAGCGGCAGCGCUGCGUAGCUAUGUGCGGACGAGAUAAGCGCUGAAAGCAUCUAAGUGCCAAGCUCUUCCCAAGAUAAGGAUUCCCCAUCAGACGCCUGGAAGACGACCAGGUUGAUAGGCCAGAGGUGUAAGCGGCGAAAACCGUUUAGCUGACUGGUACUAAUCCGUCGAUUGGCUUAUCAC